GUGUCAGCAGCCGCGGUAAUACGUAGGGGGCAAGCGUUGUCCGGAUUUAUUGGGCGUAAAGAGCGUGUAGGCGGCCAGUUAGGUCCGUUGUGAAAACUCGAGGCUCAACCUCGAGACGCCGAUGGAAACCAACUGGCUAGAGUCCGGAAGAGGAGAGUGGAAUUCCCGGUGUAGCGGUGAAAUGCGCAGAUAUCGGGAAGAACACCCGUGGCUAAGGCGGCUCUCUAGUACGGUACUGACGCUGAGACGCGAAAGCGUGGGGAGCGAACAGGAUUAGAAACCCCCGUAGUCC
rnacentral:rRNA from 1 species